CCCUUUAAUGUUUGAUGUUCUAACGUGGACCCGUGAUCCGGGUUGCGGACAGUGUCUGGUGGGUAGUUUGACUGGGGCGGUCUCCUCCUAAAGAGUAACGGAGGAGCACGAAGGUUGGCUAAUCCUGGUCGGACAUCAGGAGGUUAGUGCAAUGGCAUAAGCCAGCUUGACUGCGAGCGUGACGGCGCGAGCAGGUGCGAAAGCAGGUCAUAGUGAUCCGGUGGUUCUGAAUGGAAGGGCCAUCGCUCAACGGAUAAAAGGUACUCCGGGGAUAACAGGCUGAUACCGCCCAAGAGUUCAUAUCGACGGCGGUGUUUGGCACCUCGAUGUCGGCUCAUCACAUCCUGGGGCUGAAGUAGGUCCCAAGGGUAUGGCUGUUCGCCAUUUAAAGUGGUACGCGAGCUGGGUUUAGAACGUCGUGAGACAGUUCGGUCCCUAUCUGCCGUGGGCGCUGGAGAACUGAGGGGGGCUGCUCCUAGUACGAGAGGACCGGAGUGGACGCAUCACUGGUGUUCGGGUUGUCAUGCCAAUGGCACUGCCCGGUAGCUAAAUGCGGAAGAGAUAAGUGCUGAAAGCAUCUAAGCACGAAACUUGCCCCGA
rnacentral:rRNA from 1 species